CAUUAAGUGCUGUUGAUUCAAAAGGAAGUGCUAAAACUCCAGUAUCUCUUGUUAAACAAUAAAUAAGUAUACUUACUAAUAAUAAUAAAAAUUAAAAAUAAUAAUCAUCAUAUUAUACAUUAAAAGUAGGAAAAAAAAUUAAAACUAAUUUUUAGAUCGUGAUUUCUUCUAGAGUGCAAUACUACCUAUUUAAUUAAAAAUUUUAUUAUUUUGAUAAUAUCAAAUAUUUAUACAUAUGAUAUUUUGAAUAUAAAAAUAUAUUUUUAUUAAUAAUAAGUAUUUACUCUUGUAGAUUCACAAUUUAUUAGAGAGAUAAUGAUCAUAAAGAUACCUAGGAUUGUCGGAUUUAAUUUUCUUCUUUUUAAAUCAAGCGAAGAAAUGACGCGCUUUUGCGACUAGAAAAUUAUAUUAUAAGUUAUUAAUACUGUAAUUAUUAAUCCGACAAUCUUAAUAAUUGACACUGAGUUAAUAAAACUAGAAAAUUUUUAUUUUUAUUAAAAUUAAUCGGCAUAAUAAUUGCGUAUUAAUUGAUACUGCCAAAAAUAAUUAUUCAAUUUAUUUAAUAUUUUAUUUAAAUUGUUAUAGACAAUACAAAUGAUUUAAACACUUUAAAUUUUUUCUUAUAAAUUAUAUAAUAGACUAGUCGUUAUUUUAAAUGUAGAAAAAUAGAAAAAUAAUAUGGUAUUAAUUUAAUAAGUGAUACGAGGAUAAGAAUGAUUUAAAAUGUGAUCUCGGUAAAGAACUGAAUAUGAAAGGAAAGAUUGUUUUUAUUUUUUUAUUUUUUUAACAAUAAAAGUUGUUAACUAUAAAUGCAUUUCUUCUCAAUAUCAAUAUUGAUAAAUUUAU